UACGAAGGGGGCUAGCGUUGCUCGGAAUUACUGGGCGUAAAGCGCACGUAGUCGGCUUUGCAAGUCGGGUGUGGAAAUCCCCCGGGCUCAACCUGGGAACUGCAUCCGAGACUGCAUUGCUAGAGUAUGGGAGAGGGAAGCGGAAUUUCUGGUGUAGCAGUGAAAUGCGUAGAUAUCAGAAGGAACAUCAGUGGCGAAGGCGGCUUCCUGGACCAAAUACU
rnacentral:rRNA from 1 species